GAUGCACGCUGGCGGCGUGCCUAAUCCAUGCAAGUCGAGCGAAGCGGGGACGGGUGAGUAACACGUGGAUAACCUCAUAUAAGACGGGGAUAAAUUCGGGAAAACGGAGCUAAACAGGAUACUAAUAGAUGGAUACGCGUUGCAUUAGCUAUUUGGUAAGGUAACGGAUUACCAAGGCAACGAGGCAUAGCCGACCAGAGAGGGUGAUCGUCCACCCUGGAACUGAGACACGGUCCAGACUCCUACGGGAGGCAGCAGUAUGGAAUCUUCCGCAAUGGGCAAAAGCCUGACGGAGCAACGCCGCGUGAGUGAUGAAGGUCUUCGGAUCGUAAAACUCUGUUAUUAGGGAAGCGUUACCUAAUCAGAAAGCCACGGCUAACUCCGUGCCAGCAGCCGCGGUAAUUC
rnacentral:rRNA from 1 species